UUGACCGUGCGAAGGUAGCGCAAUCACUUGUCCUUUAAAUGAAGACCUGUAUGAAUGGCACGACGAGGGCUUUACUGUCUCCUUUUUCCAGUCAGUGAAAUUGAUCUCCCCGUGCAGAAGCGGGGAUUAAUACAUAAGACGAGAAGACCCUAUGGAGCUUUAAACUCUAAGGCAGACUAUGUUAAACACUCUCGAAUAAGAGACCAAACAGUAUGGACACUGCCCUCAUGUUUUUGGUUGGGGCGACCCUGGGGAAUAGAAAAACCCCCAUGAAGACAGGGAGAACAAACUCCUACAAACAAGAGCCACCGUUCUAGUUCACAGAACAUCUGACUUAUAAGAUCCGGCUUUGGCCGAUCAACGGACCGAGUUACCCUAGGGAUAACAGCGCAAUCCUCUUUUAGAGCUCAUAUCGACAAGAGGGUUUACGACCUCGAUGUUGGAUCAGGACAUCCUAAUGGGUGCAGCCGCUAUUAAGGGUUCCGUUUGUUCAACGAUUAAAGUCCUACGUGAUCUGA
rnacentral:rRNA from 1 species